AAGGUUAGCUCAGUUGGGAGAGCAUCUGCCUUACAAGCAGAGGGUCAUAGGUUCGAGCCCUAUACUUUCC
rnacentral:tRNA from 1 species